AAAAUAUCAAUUUUUUUUAACAGAGCAGGAUAUCAAUUAACUUUAUCACAUCUAGGGUUCUGACUUUGCUCCCCAAAAUCUCUAGAAGCUCUGUUCCACCAUCACUAAUCGAAUCAUCCUCCACUCCACCAUCAGUCCAUCACUAAUCCAAUCAUCCUCCGAUCCAAAACCCUAAUCGCUCCAAAACCCUAACUGCUCCCAAAAGUGGCGACCGUUGGACUUCAGCAAUGAGCUAAUGAUUUCUUAGGGUGCGGUUUGUUGUGAAUUAUGACCAACAUCUUGCUAUUCUUAAUCGAAGGUGACUUAUGACAGUUUUGAUCCCCUUAACCCAGUUUCACUUUAGCUACAUAUUUCAAGUUACCUGGUACAGCUCCUUUCUCAACUGUAGGCCUGUAGCCACGAGCGGGGGGCAAUAAUAGAGGAAAAGUGUACUCUUUUGGCAAUGCUAAUGACCCUUGUGUCCAUAGCAGAGAGAAGACCCUGAGAUUGAAAGGUUGAACUUAGUUAUAAGGAGCUCAUUAAGGAAGAGGAUGAA